UACGGAGGGUGCAAGCGUUAUCCGGAUUCACUGGGUUUAAAGGGUGCGUAGGUGGGCAGGUAAGUCAGUGGUGAAAUCUCCGGGCUUAACCCGGAACUGCCGUUGAUACUAUUUGUCUUGAAUAUUGUGGAGGUAAGCGGAAUAUGUCAUGUAGCGGAUGAAAUGCUUAGAUAUGACAUAGAACACCAAUUGCGAAGGCAGCUUACUACACAACGAUUGACGCUGAGGCACGAAAGCGUGGGGAUCAAACAGG
rnacentral:rRNA from 1 species